rnacentral:rRNA from 1 species
UACGUAGGGUGCGAGCGUUACUCGGAAUUACUGGGCGUAAAGCGUGCGCAGGCGGUGAGCUGUGUCCGAUGUGAAAGCCCCGGGCUUAACCUGGGAAUGGCAUUGGAAACUGGCUCGCUGGAGUGUGGCAGAGGGGGGUGGAAUUCCGCGUGUAGCAGUGAAAUGCGUAGAGAUGCGGAGGAACACCGAUGGCGAAGGCAGCCCCCUGGGCUAACACUGACGCUCAGGCACGAAAGCGUGGGGAGCAAACAGG